UUAGAUACCCUAGUAGUCCACGCCGUAAACGAUGAGUGCUAGACGUCGGGGCCCUCAGGGCUUCGGUGUCGCAGCUAACGCGUUAAGCACUCCGCCUGGGGAGUACGGCCGCAAGGUUAAAACUCAAAGGAAUUGACGGGGGCCCGCACAAGCGGUGGAGCAUGUGGUUUAACUCGAAGCAACGCGCAGAACCUUACCAGCCCUUGACAUGGGCGUCGCGGGUGGAGAGAUCCACCUUUCGGUUCGGCCGGACGCCGCACAGGUGCUGCAUAGCUGUCGUCAGCUCGUGUCGUGAGAUGUUGGGUUAAGUCCCGCAACGAGCGCAACCCCCAUCUUCAGUUGCCAUCAGGUAGAGCUGGGCACUCUGGGGAAACCGCCGGUGACAAGCCGGAGGAAGGCGGGGAUGACGUCAAGUCCUCAUGGCCCUUAUGGGCUGGGCUACACACGUGCUACAAUGGUGGUGACAGUGGGCAGCGAGAUAGCGAGAUCGAGCCAAUCUCCAAAAGCCAUCUCAGUUCGGAUCGCACUCUGCAACUCGGGUGCGUGAAGUUGGAAUCGCUAGUAAUCGCGGAUCAGCACGCCGCGGUGAAUACGUUCCCGGGCCUUGUACACACCGCCCGUCACACCAUGGGAGUUGGUUUUACCCGAAGCCGGUGGGCUAACUUCGCAAGAAGAGGCAGCCGACCACGGUCAGGUCAGCGACUGGGGUG
rnacentral:rRNA from 1 species